CACUCUCUGUGUUCAAUCUCUCUCUGUGAGCUCAAGCUCGCUGUAGCUGCUUCUCACUCUCUGUGGUCAAUCUCUCUCUGUGAGAUCAAUCUCUCUGUAGCUCAUUCUCACUCUCUGUGUUCAUUCUCUCUCAAGCUCUCACUGUAUCUAUCUCUCUCUCUCUUUGUGUAUUGAUCUCUUUUGUUUUUGCAACUACAUGUCACUUUGUCCAUCCCACCUGUGACGAUCAUCAUUCCCCCAAUCAGUCAUCAAUCAGUCCCCAAUCAGAAGACACCUGUUCCUUUUCCCUCAACCAAUCACAGCCCCUUUCCCUUGUUUUAAAAACCCCAGUCAGUUGCUCUCUCUCUAGCUGAUUCUCACUCUCUGUGUUCAAUCUCUCUCUGUGAGAUCAAUCUCUCUGUAGCUCAUUCUCACUCUGUGUUCAUUCUCUCUCAAGCUCUCACUAUAUCUCUCUCUUUGUGUAUUGAUGUCGUUUGUUUUUGCAACUACAUGUCACUUUGUCCAUCCCACCUGACAGAACAUGGACACAAUGCUAUUGGGAUCAAGAAGAAGAGCUUCUCAGAAAUGAAUCAAGUCCAUGGAAUGGAUAUAGACAAAGAUAAUUCAAGGACUAGCAGAGGACUGGAGACCACAGUAGCGAUCCCGCUCUUGCCCUACCUCUUCAAUGAGGACCCGAGUGGCCUUAUGUCUGUGACAAGAUUUCACUGCUCUUUACUCCUUUACUGCACAUCGGUGGAAAUCCAUUUCACCAUGAGAGUGAAAUCCCGCUGGCCUUUGAUGGGGAGAACAUCUACGCCCUCGAGGACGUCCCCAUGGGACUUGGGGCUCUGCUACGGCUGUAUUUUUUAUUUAUUUUCCCUUAAAUUUCCCAAAAAUGUCAGAAAAACACUUGUUCUUAUGUUAGUGUUCUGGGGAUAAGAGAAGUUGGGGUGAAGUUACCAGGGCCGGGCAUAAAGAUGGCAAACUUCCUAACAUAACUAAGUGAAUAUGAUAUACACACUAAAGAUGAAAAAUCUGUAUUUAGCAUCAAGUCUACAAUAUUGCUAAUUCAUAUUUGUGGUGUCAGUAAAUAAACAAUUAUUUAAAUCAA
rnacentral:lncRNA from 1 species